AUGCAAGUCGAGCGGAUCAAWUAAGAGCUUGCUCUUAUGAGAUCAGCGGCGGACGGGUGAGUAACACGUGGGCAACCUGCCUUACAGACUGGGAUAACUCCGGGAAACCGGGGCUAAUACCGGAUGAUCAAAGGAACCGCAUGGUUCCCUUGUAAAAGUUGGGAGCAAUCCUAACACUGUGAGAUGGGCCCGCGGCGCAUUAGCUAGUUGGUGAGGUAACGGCUCACCAAGGCGACGAUGCGUAGCCGACCUGAGAGGGUGAUCGGCCACACUGGAACUGAGACACGGUCCAGACUCCUACGGGAGGCAGCAGUAGGGAAUCAUCCGCAAUGGGCGAAAGCCUGACGGUGCAACGCCGCGUGAACGAUGAAGGUCUUCGGAUUGUAAAGUUCUGUUGUUAGGGAAGAACAAGUGCCAUUCGAAUAGGUUGGCACCUUGACGGUACCUAACCAGAAAGCCCCGGCUAACUACGUGCCAGCAGCCGCGGUAAUACGUAGGGGGCAAGCGUUGUCCGGAAUUAUUGGGCGUAAAGCGCGCGCAGGCGGUCUCUUAAGUCUGAUGUGAAAGCCCACGGCUCAACCGUGGAGGGUCAUUGGAAACUGGGAGACUUGAGUGUAGGAGAGGAAAGUGGAAUUCCACGUGUAGCGGUGAAAUGCGUAGAGAUGUGGAGGAACACCAGUGGCGAAGGCGACUUUCUGGCCUAUAACUGACGCUGAGGCGCGAAAGCGUGGGGAGCAAACAGGAUUAGAUACCCUGGUAGUCCACGCCGUAAACGAUGAGUGCUAGGUGUUAGGGGUUUCGAUACCCUUAGUGCCGCAGUUAACACAUUAAGCACUCCGCCUGGGGAGUACGGCCGCAAGGCUGAAACUCAAAGGAAUUGACGGGGGCCCGC
rnacentral:rRNA from 1 species